rnacentral:rRNA from 1 species
GACAGAGGGUGCAAACGUUGUUCGGAAUUACUGGGCGUAAAGCGUGUGUAGGCGGCUACAUAAGUCGGAUGUGAAAGCCCCGGGCUCAACCCGGGAAGUGCACUCGAUACUGCGUAGCUUGAGUCUCGGAGAGGUUGGUGGAAUUCUCGGUGUAGAGGUGAAAUUCGUAGAUAUCGAGAGGAACACCGGUGGCGAAGGCGGCCAACUGGACGAAGACUGACGCUGAGACACGAAAGCGUGGGGAGCAAACGGG